rnacentral:rRNA from 1 species
GUCAUAGAAAAUAUAUGCAGGCUGAACACACCCAAUCUCGUCUGAUCUCAGAAGCUAAGCAGGCAGGGCCUGGUUAAUAUUUGAAUGGGAAAAUAGACACAGGCUGAGGGUCUAAGACA